GAAGAAGAAUGACGGUACACCAAGAAUAAGAGACGGCUAACUACGUGCCAGCAGCCGCGGUAAUACGUAGGUCUCAAGCGUUAUCCGGAUUUACCGGGCGUAAAGUAUCCGUAGCCUGAUAUGUAAGUCUGUUUUCAAAUCCCACGACUCAAUCGUGGAAAGGGAAUGGAUACUGCAUAUCUAGAGGUUAUUGGGGGUUAGUGGAAUUUCCGGUGGAGCGGUGAAAUGCGUUGAUAUCGGAAAGAACGCCGAAAGCGAAAGCAGCUAACUAUGAUUUACUUGACGGUGAGGGAUGAAAGUUUGGGUAGCAAACGGGAUUAGAUACCCCGGUAGUCCAAACUGUAAAUUAUGCUUGCUAGGUGUUUCGAUCCUUGUGGUCGGAGUGCCGUAAUCUAACGAGUUAAGCAAGUCGCCUGGGUAGUAUAUUCGCAAGAAUGAAACUCAAAGGGAUAGGCGGGGGAACACACAAGCAGUGGAUUAUCUAGAUUAAUUGGAUAAUAAGCCAAGAAUCUUACCUAGAAUUGACAUGCAUUGUGUCUCAUAUGAAAGUAUGAUAUUUGUAGCAAUACAGAGCUUUGCACAGGUGGUGCAUGGUCGUCGUCAGCUCGUGCCGCAAGGUGUCCAGUUAA
rnacentral:rRNA from 1 species